ACCACUAUAGGAUGGCGAGGUUGGGCUCUGAGCUGCAGUGAGAGCAGAGAGGGAGAGAGCGAGAGAGAGAGAGAGAGAGUGCGUGUGCGCGUCAGCAGCAAAGUUAAAUACAAAGGGCUUGUACGCGGUGGCAAGAGAGGUUUCCUUUGUUCUCGUCCGGGGCUUGAGAGAGAUCGGAGAGAAUGAACCAUCGCACACCACUCCUAACACUCCUGGAGGGCUUACAAGCUGUGGCUGCAGGUGAUAUCCACGUCCAUGCCUCAAGGGGGAGACACCGCAGGAGAUUUCAUAUCCACUCCCGUGAACGUAAUGUGGACGAAUAGCCAAUAUGGAUCCAUACAAUUCCAGACAGCCAUGUAUCAAUGGAUUCACAUGUUUGCUUUUGCAAACUCACCAGACGACGGAAAAAUGGCCACAAUAUAUUUCUUUGGGUUUACUUUACCUUCUAAGUAUUUAUACAUGAAGAGCAAUGGCUACAAGUUGAGCUGACCAAAAAUGGAAUAGAAUUGAACUUUGCUCCAUGGCUUCAUUGUCAACUAUUUGCUGCAAGUUGAAUUUGGAAAUUCUUCUAAUUUGAAAAAUGGGAACUAUUGGCUGUCAAGACGAUAACCUUAUAAUGAGUUGGAUACAACGUAAAUAUCAGAUUGACAACGAGUGACAUCGGGACUAGAAGAUAGACGUCUGACUGCCUCUAGCCCUUUGCCAAGGCGCUUCGAAACAAAGCUGCCCAGCUUUGACAGAUAGACUGGAGUAUCACAGCUCAUGUUGGGCUAAUGCCCUGUGGAACCUCUCAUCCUGGAAACGUUGUGAAACCUGACAGAUGUUGGAAUACUUCAUUGGAAUAAAAAUACACGAUGGGAUAUUGCAGAGUCACACAGCACUUCAAAUUGGAUUUGUGUACUGGAAGGUGUUACAAUGGUUGGAAUAAUUCAAAAGGAACACCUUGUGUUUAGAAUAAUGUGACACGCUACAAUAAUGGAAUAAUGUGCUGGAUUAUGAUUAUAACAUUGCAUUGGAUCAGAAUACAGCAAUUUAUACUGGAGCUCAACUGAAAUACGACAUCCAGAAUGAAAUGGUGGAACAAUGUGCGGGAACACAAAUGGAAUAUUGUACUGGAACCUUCAUCCUGGCACAGUGGCACAGUGGUAGAGUUGCUGCCUGACAGAGCUUGCAGCGCCAGAGACCCAGGUUCGAUCCUGACUACGGGUGCUGUCUGUAUGAAGUUUGUACGUUCUCCCCGUGACCUGCGUGGGUUUUCUCAGAGCUCUUUGGUUUCCUCCCAUUGCUGGUCGGUGGGCCGAAGGGCCUGUUUCCGCACUGUAUCUCUGAACUAAAACCUGGGAUCAGAAUUACACAUGGAAUACAAUAAUACAAACUGGAAUACUACACUGGAUCAUGGCAACGUGUACUGGACAAGCGUAUAAUGCCUUACUUUGGAAAUGACCUGGGACAGUUCCCACCGGAAUACUGCUCUGGAAUACAAUACUUGGUGUAGGAAUUAUGUACCACAACAAAAUACCUUACACACGAAUAAUCCAUUGGAAUACAAAUUCUUUCUUUGGUCUUAUAAUACAUUUGAUGGAAUAAUGUACUGGGUUACCACAUCUUAUGGGAAUACAAUCUCUUGUGCUGGCAUAAUGUGUUGGAUUACCCCCUGCUGCAUUAAUGCACAGGUUUACGACACUUUUCACAAUACUGUACUGGAAUACAAUAUGUUACUUUGGAAUAUUGGGAAACUUCUGCUGGAAUUAAGUAAGAUUGUAAUACCUUGCAUUGGAAUGAUGCACGGGGGCACAACACCUUGCAUUGGAGUGAUUCAUUGGAGCAUGACAACUUGCAUUGGAGUGAUGCACUGGAGCACAACACCUUGUAUUCUAGCACAACACCUUGCAUUGGAAUGAUGCAUAGGAGCAUGACACCUUGCAUUGGAAUGAUG